rnacentral:rRNA from 1 species
ACAACUCAUGACGGUGGAUGUCUUGGCUCCAGCAACGAUGACGAACGCAGCGAAUUGCGAAAAGUAGUACGAACUGCAGAACCCGAGAAUCAUCAAAUUUUUGAACGCAAGUGCGCUCGCGGGUAAUCCUGCGAGCAUGUCUGUUUGAGUGUC